UCAACCAAACAUGAAGGAGCAGCAUUUACUCGACAAUAUUGACAGUCUUGUUUUUCAAUUUGCCAUUAAAACUCGAGAGGCUUCUCAAAAGAAGAAUGGAAUCCAAAAGCAAAUCAAAGAGUGCAGAACUCUCAUCACUGAGAAGAGGUCUUACAUUGAAGCAAUUCAAGGACACAUCAGGAAUCUUGAAGAAGAAAUUCGA